GGAGGCGUGUUGGCUCAGAGGCAGAGCAUCUCUGCCUUGCAUGCAGAAGCCUCCAGGUUCAAACCCUGCUGGCAUCUUCA